ensembl:lncRNA
AGUCAGAGGCUGAGAUUACUUCCAGAGAAUUAAAAACAUGGAAUGCUGUGUAUUCCUGUAAAAAGGCAUACUUCAGGAUCUUGAACAUUAUGGCAGCACUGAAAAUGUGAAUCUCUAGGGGUCAGGUGAGUAAAAUAAAAAAAAGCUAAUGAACUCCUCUAACUUUCAGCUGCCUUUAUUCAGGUAUAAUCUUGCAGUUCUGAAUGCAUGUUGUAACGUUACUAAUUGGUGUAGUAAUGUCCCUAGUUCGUAUAAUACUGAAAGGGCAUCAUGCAAAUGUUGUGUAUAUCGUGAUUUUAUCCUGAAGUGCUUUACUGGAAUGGAGGAGAGAUGAAAAGAAGAAAGACAACAUGUGGUUAUUCCCAUUUAACAAGCUUAGUCUAAGAACAUGCAGAGUGGGAAUUGUUGUACAUGUGUUUCUUGUGCCAGUAUGCCUCAGAAAUCCACUUAAUUGCUAAAGUAAGCAUAACUAAGAUGGCAUUUCUUGCUUCUAGAAAUGAACGCUAGUGUACUAUUUGCUCAGUUUGCUUUUGUAGUGCCUUAGUGGUUUCUGAUUAGUUACAGCAGCACGUGAAACUGUUUCUGUCCUAAAUGCUCAGUUAUUGGAAGUCAAGUAGGAUAGGAGGCAGCCUUUUACCAGAGCUUCUGUUAAUGAAUGCUUAAUACCUCCUUUGGUAGGUAAACAGAGCGCAGAUCUUCUAUCAAAAUCAACACUACAUUAAUGCAGUCCUGCCGAACUGUGUGGCAAAGCAAGAGAUGAUGUGUUACAAGGCAGUAACCUGUCUGCACUGGUUUUGUGUGAUGUUGCUUGCAGUAAGUACAAAUGCGUUUUAAGUAAAUAACUCUAGUGAGGGGUACUCCAAGUAAACUCCUAAUACAAAGUUAGACAUGAGAGCAGCUACGUUUGGUUCCUGUAGAGUAGCUGACAAGUCUCUAAAUGGUGUUUUCUGAUAACAAACCGUACUUUGCUGUGCAUGUAUUGCCAUCAGCAAGAAGGGAGAGAUGCCUGGGAAAGCAGACAGAAGGACAAUGCAGUCUUCUGUUGCACUGCUCAAGUGAAGAAUGCUCACCGGGGUGUCCAACUCUUCUCCUGAAGGGUUUUGUGUUCUUUGCUCUAUCUUGUCCAACUUUGCUUAGCGUAAUCCAAAGUAUGCUGACUUUGGUUGGCAACUGCAUUCCAGCCAAAAAUAUGUACUGGGGAAGAAUCAGGUUACUAAAUUAAAUCAUAGAAUCCAUAGAAUCACCAAGGUUGGAAAAGACCCACGGGAUCAUCCAGUCCAACCAUUCGCCCUUCGCCAAUGGUUCUCGCUAAACCAUGUAGAUCAUUCUCUCUUUGCUUCCACAAGUGUGCUGUGAGCAUAAGAAACCAGGAGGUGAUGUAUGGCACUUGGGAUAGCCGCUAUUUGAGUACUGAGGAAUGUUCCCUGUGGAAAUAAGGGAGUGCUGCAAUACACUUAAUAAUGCAAAUGAUGUAUGAUUGCUUUUUAAAUUACUCUAUGAGGCUGCUGUUACUUUAAUGAAGGAGAAGCCAGCAAUGAACUGAAAUUCACAGCUGAUACUUACAGAAGCAUGUGCCCAAACAAGGAAGAAAUUGAGAUGGAAACAUGCGUGCAGUUGGGGGGAAUGAAGGGUUUAGGCUCACAGCCUAAACCUGGACUUGUACGGGAAUUAGUUGCACUCCAGAAAAUUUCAAUCUGUGUAGGUCAAACUGAGUUCACAGAGCUUUUGCUGUAAACUAUGGGAUGGAGGUGAAGUUACAGCAGGGUAGGGAUAUUGCAAAUGCAGUGUUCAAACCCGGUGCAAGGAAGGCGAGCUGCUCCAUCCCCACUGGGGAUUUUUCCAGGCUGCUCACUGUUGGAAAUAGCACUAGUCUCACAGUUGCUGUUCUGUUGUACUGUAAUAGCAGAAAUGUCCAAUAUGUCAAGUAAUGUCAGCCUUGCAUGCAUCCUGAAUUUGACGUUCUUGUUCAUUUUCCCAGAAUCGGAGCUGCCAAGUUCUACUUCAUGUAUAUCUGUAUCUGCUGAAAGGUAGGCUUGUGUAAGAUACCAUGCUGAGCACUUCAUUUGAAGCCCACUGCUUGGAAAGAUCUGGGAACAGUAUGCUGCUUACCCAGAUGAUGUCACUGGUGAAGUCUUGUUCAAACAUCAAAUUGUGCCUGCCAAGGGUAAGGACUUUCUAAAUGCUGAGGCAGGCUUUAUCUGUAACAUGACAUGCAUAGAAACGGUAAAAAGGUCAAGGAAAUUCUGUCAUUAGUGAAGUCCUUAACUAACAACAGAGAGUUGAUUUUAGGUAUGCUCAUUAACAUCUAAGGCUUAGCACUGCCUUUGAUCACUGGCUUUCAAUACAGGUUGCUUGUUCUGUGGUUGCCUUUACCCACAGUGGGGAGUGCUCUACCACAUAGCAGAGGCGGGUGCUCACUGGGGAGGGUUUUGAGAACAAAGAUCAGGCUUUCUGCUGGAACAGCCCGUGAAAAAUGUAGAAGUAAUCAAAAAAGUAUUGAGUUUCCUACUGUACAAUUCUAAGUCAAACAUGAGGUAUACGUGAGGGCUGUGGCAGUGGGAGAGCUUGCUCAGUGUUCACCCUCUGUGGGGGAGCAGGGUUCUUUAGAGCCUGGCUCCUUUGAGGCUGGUAUACGUAUUUUUUGUCAAUAGAAAGGGUAGUGAUUAACAAGUAUGUUCCUCUCCCUUGAAAGUUUCAUCUGUCUUUCCAGCAGGAGGAGUCCUGUGAUUACAGUGCAGCAAGGCCCAUGCAAGACCAUAGGAGAACUGGCUGGAGAGGAAAUAAGGGAGCAGUAAUGCAAAUGGUACUUCAGUUUCUUUUAAUAUGCUUCCUUGUAGGAGGCCAGUAAAAUGUUGUUUUCCAACAUUAGUAAAGUCUGGUUAUGAGAAGAACCAAACUGAAAGUGACCUGCAGAUAGCCUUCACAAAAGAUGGUAUGCUAACAGGGUGGGUGGUGAGUUUACACCAGAGGUGCCCUGUGAAAAACCUUAUUUCAGGUGCUCUGAACCAUUGCAAGUGCAUUUUCUUUCAGAAGGAUUUCCCAGGCGUACUUACUCUUCUCUUUCAGGGUUUACUGGGGAAGAGGAGUGGAUUCUGGGGACUGCAACAGAAACAAUUGUGCUGCUGGACUGACUACAGUUGUGCUGGAGAGCUGUUCUGAAUGAGCGUAGACAAUCAAAUGCUUCAUCAAAGCUGAAGUCCAGCUCCUAGGUGGAGGUCACAGUCAUCUUUGGAAGGUGUAACUCUCAGAUUUCCAAGUUUGGACCAUGUGGGCUAAACUCGAAGAAAUUCAGAAAGUCUGAGAAGAGUCUUCAGCCUCUGAAGCUGUUCUAUGUGUAUGUGCCACCACGUGCUCAGUUUUCAAUGGAUGCAAUGGAUCUUGGAUCUUCAGCUGCUUUUGCCUGUGGACUGGUCACACAUACCUUAAGGAGCUGCCUUUGUUGGCCUUGAAUUUUUAAACCCCCUGGUUUUCCUUAAAAUGUUAAGGGUUAUAGCGUAGCAGUAGGGCCCAGGGUGUAGAAGGGAGCAAAACGUUUCAGAGCAGGAGAGCUGGAGACUGUAGGCAUAGGAAAGAGCUGGAGUAUAGAGUAUUAGAGAAGGGGUGGCACUGAUAGCAGAGAGACCCUACUGUAAAGGUAGAUAUGGCUAAUAACACGUAGAGUACAAGGAAGGAUAAUAAAUCUGACAUCCUCAGCUUGUCUUUUUUUAAUGACAGUUUAAGCAUGGAAAACAGUAUAUUUUUUUAUGCCAAAGGAGCAAAAAACUGGUCACUUCACAGGUGAGGCAGUAACUGUGAGCUGCCCUGUAGGAUCUGUUGGAAGAAAGCCGGAGAAAUGACAAAAGCAAGGAAGCGGCAUGGGAAUGAUGAGCAGGUCAGCACACUGGAGAAGCAAAAUGAGGACAGUAGACGGGAAGGUAGAAGAAACAGUGAAAGAGGAGGCUGCAGCUGAAAAGGGGGGAAUUGUAAAAGGACACAGAAUUGUGGAGGAAAGAUAGACAGAAACAUGAAAUAAUGAAAGACUGCAGGUAAGCAACUUGUUCUCUGUGCCAAUCCUUCCUCUCUUCCUCCUGGACACGGCAGAACAAAACAUACUAGCAUGCAGUGGAGCACAGCAAUGAAAAAAUACACGCAAAAGAUGAACAGAUUGACUUCCCAAGUACUGUUGGCGUUCUUUAGUAAUGAUUUUUUUUUUCCGGAUCAUUUCUUUCUAUAUCAUGUACAAAGAAAAGACUCACUUUGCUUACCUUAAUGCAUUGAUUCGAAUCAAAUUCUCACCAAGAGCAUGAGCAGGUGAUAAAUUCUCUUGCUUUCAACUGUUUUUUGGAGUGAAGUUUGUAAAAAAUACCUUAUGUUGCUGGACUGUUGUCUGGGAGCUUUUCUCCUGCACUGCCUGAAAUACUGAAGUAUGUCAGAGGCUGUGUUUCUGCACAGCUUUGUAUGAUUCAAAGCUAACAGGCAGACUGCUCUGCAGCAGUAAUAUGAAAGGGAAGGUGGUUAUGUGACAAGAAAAUAUUGACAGUGUUUGGUUGCCUUGUUUAUAUCACUGGUUAACAGAAAAUAAGCACAGCAAGCAGUCAGAAAUGUUCCAUUUGGAUGUUAAAUGUGCACCUGGUGCAGAAGUGCCUCUACACGGCAGGAACCUGCAGGGCUUUGCACAGCUGUAAAGUUAAUGGACACUGAAUGCCUGGCUCUCCUUAACUAUUUCCACCUGCUUUGCCUGGCUCAUGCUCCUUUGAGUUCAGCUAAGCCAUCCUGAUUUGUAUUUGAUUAACUAAGAGGGAAUUAAGGCCCGUGUGUUUUCUCCCUUAAUCGUUUCUACAGUAUUCUGAGUUAACAUGAGAUAUUUGUUUGGGCAGUGUUUAUAUGUGAGGUUGGGAUGUCUCUCUGCUCCUCCUUCUUGUGUAUGUAGCCCCUGCUCGAAGCUAAUGAGUAACACUGGUAUAGCAGCCACAAACUCAUCAUGCAGAUUACUGUUUGAACCUGAGAUCAGUGCCAUGCUCUACAUCUUACUUCUCAUAUUCGCUGCUGGCGUUGUUACAGUAAUUAAUGGCACCCAGUCCUGAAAAAAAAAUGACCUCUCCUGUUCAUUAGGAAGUGAUUACCGUGAGGGGCUGCUAUUAAAUGAGCCGGCAUAGCUGCACUUAAUCAGACCAGCUGGACUGAAAGCAAGCAGGAGGGUUAAGCAAACAAACCGAAACGCAAGUGGGGCAAGUGAUGGAUCUGCUCCCUCAUAACUGGGAUAUUGCCAUGGAGUAGGUGCACUGAAAUGAACUGAAGCUGACUUUGCUCAG